rnacentral:rRNA from 1 species
GCUCAUACCGGAUAAGAUUUUGAACUGCAUGGUUCGAAAUUGAAAGCCGGCUUCGGCUGUCACUUAUGGAUGGACCCGCGUCGCAUUAACUACUUGGUGAGGAAACGGCUCACCAAGGCAACGAUGCGAAGCCGACCUGAGAGGGUGAUCGGCCACACUGGGACUGAGACACGGCCCAGACUCCUACGGGAGGCAGCAGUAGGGAAUCUUCCUCAAUGGACGAAAGUGUGACGGAGCAACUCCCCGUGAGUGAUGAAGGCUUUCGGGUCGUAAAACUCUGUUGUUAGGGAAGAACAAGUGCUAGUUGAAUAAGCUGGCACCUUGACGGCACCUAACCAGAAAGCCACGGCUAACUACGUGCCAGCGCCGCGGUAAUACGUCGGUGGCAAGCGUCAUCCGGAAUUAUUGGGCGUAAAGCACGCGCAGGUGGUUUCUUAAGUCUGAUGUGAAAGCCCCGGCUCAGCCGUGGAGGGUCUUUGGAAACUGGGAGACUUGUGUGCUGACGAGGAAAGUGGAAUUCCUGUAUAGCGGUGAAAUGCGUCAAUUGUGGAGGAACACCGUGGCGAGGCCACAUCUGAUCUGUAAUGACACUGAGCUCGAAGCGUGGUAGCAACACGACUAGAUCCCUGGAGUCACGCGUAACGAUGAGUGCAAUUCUGGAGGAUUCCGCCCUUAAUGCUGAGUUACGCAAUAACACC